rfam:Gossypium raimondii chromosome 11, whole genome shotgun sequence.
AACCCAUGGUGAGGGCACCUUCUUAAUAAAUCCUUAUACCUCUCCCAUGCAUCAUAUAACAUCCCUAAAUCGAUAUGUACAAUGGAAGAGAUAUCGUUCCUUAACUU